GAUGAACGCUGGCGGCGUGCCUAAUACAUGCAAGUCGAGCGAACAGACGAGGAGCUUGCUCCUCUGACGUUAGCGGCGGACGGGUGAGUAACACGUGGAUAACCUACCUAUAAGACUGGGAUAACUUCGGGAAACCGGAGCUAAUACCGGAUAAUAUAUUGAACCGCAUGGUUCAAUAGUGAAAGACGGUUUUGCUGUCACUUAUAGAUGGAUCCGCGCCGCAUUAGCUAGUUGGUAAGGUAACGGCUUACCAAGGCAACGAUGCGUAGCCGACCUGAGAGGGUGAUCGGCCACACUGGAACUGAGACACGGUCCAGACUCCUACGGGAGGCAGCAGUAGGGAAUCUUCCGCAAUGGGCGAAAGCCUGACGGAGCAACGCCGCGUGAAUGAUGAAGGUCUUCGGAUCGUAAAACUCUGUUAUUAGGGAAGAACAAAUGUGUAAGUAACUAUGCACGUCUCGACGGUACCUAAUCAGAAAGCCACGGCUAACUACGUG
rnacentral:rRNA from 1 species